CACAAUUGUUGCUAAUUUCGGUGGUUUUAUCGUCUGCCAGAAUGAUCAUGUUCUUAGUGGCGAUUUUCACUAAUUGUGGCAGGUUAAAACGCCAUUAUCAUUAAAAAAAAAGAAAACACAUUUAAAGCUGAGGUGGUGUAUUGCAUAUGAGAAUAAUCACUAUUCAAUAUUGUUGAAUGUGAGAGAGUGAGCGAGAGGGAUCUGAAUGUGACGAACCCUAAUUUUUUGAUCUCCCUCGUUGCCGGCAUUCAUCUCUUGCCGCCGUAUACAAUGCGGUUAUUGCUGCCUUCGAAGGAGCGCUCUUCUUUGAUUAGGUUUUCUAGCUUCAAUUUGAGGGUUCGUUGCGCCGCCCUCAUCUCCUCGUCACCACAAGCAACGCCAUCAUUGCUGUCUUCGAUGGAGCUUUUGCUAUCUGGUAUAAUCUGAGAUCGCACAUCGCAGGAAGAGGGAAAGGGGAAUGAGAGUGAGUUGAUCUGAAACCCUAAAGCUUGUCGCCGCCAUGGUCACACCAUUCAUCUCAUUUCUCCCGCUUCCAUCAACCUUCUGCGCUCGAGUGAAGGCGCCUCCUCUAUCGAUGCGUUUCCAAAUCUAGUCACUACGCCAUAGCUUAUGAGAUUGAGCGAAGCACCUCUUCCAUUAAUGUAUCUCCUCCGCCAGCAGUGCCGGGUUCUUCCUUAUAGAAAUCUCCAAUCUAUAGCAUAUAGGCUAUACUUGAAACUCCUCAAAUGACAUGCUUUUGAACUUAAAUCUCAGAUAAAAAGGUCUCAUUAUCAAAAGUACAUGCUCUUCUAUCUGAUAAAGAAGAAUUGGAGAAAGACUUGAAAAGAUUAAAUGAUAAGCUUACUUCAGCACUCUCUGACUGUAAUGCUAAAGGUGAGCUGUUGAAAAAGCAAACAAAAAUCGCUCAGGAAGCAACAGCAGGUUAAAGGUCAUUUUCCUUUCUUUGACAUGGCGUAAACAGUUUAUAAUGCGUGCUUUGUGAAGAUGAGAAACAAGCUGUGGCAGUAAAAAGUCAAUUGCAGCUACUUGCUAGACCAAUGUACAGUAAUCCACCUGUUCUUGGAGCACUUAUAGUUUCAACUAUUAUUGAUGACCCAGAAUUGAAAAAUUUAUGGCUUAAAGAAGUUAAGGGAUUUGUCAAAUAACAACUUGAGUGGUCAACUACCUUCCUCAACAGGGACUUUGUCAUUCCUUACUACAUUGUGAGUAAAUUUUAUUGCGUAUAGUUUAAUUUCUAUUGGAGCAAGAAACAAAGAUGUUGGAGCAAGUCCCGGGAUGGAACUCACACAAGAGACCAAGAAACUAAGGCGGGUGUAAAAUCCCUAUAAUACCCUUACUCAUCUUUCUCCUAACCAAAUUUUAACCCUAACUUCCUAAAUUACCAACACACACCCCCCAAAUCAUAGAAGAGAAGCAGAGAGAGUGAGGAUCGGAAAGAAGAAGAGAGGGGAGGAAGGGACGGCGCCGGCAGGGCUGGGAGUCGCCGUCGCUAUCGUUGUCUUGGAUCAAGAAGAGAGAAGAGGAAGAAGUGCAAGAGAGGAAAUGCUGUCCCGCCGUCCUUGCCAUCACCCUUGGAGACCGUCCCUGCCGCAGCCGGAGCUUCCAUUGCCGUCGUCAAGGACUCCAUCGCUGCCACGAGAAGCCACCGCAUGUGGAAGAGAAAGACGUGACGCACAGAAUAGAGGAAGGGGACGACAUCUUGUCGUCACUGCGCCUUGUCGCCGUCGCUGAAAGGGGAGCUCCGUCGUCGCCGUCGAGGCUACGGGUAUGGGGCUUCGAAGAGAGAGAGAAGCUCGCAGAGGAGAGAGAAACGUAACGACCAGAGAGAGGAAAGUCUCGCGAGGAGGCGGGAGCUGGUACACCUUCGCUGUUGUUGCAGGCUGCGCCACCGCGCCUCUGGUUGCCGGGAGCCACGCUGACGUCACCGGAAGCCACCGCCGAAAACUCUGCAAGUUUGCCCUAGCUCCGCUUUACUUCAGCCGGUGAGGAUCACCGGAGCUACUGAUGGUCCAUCCUCUUGUUUCUUUUGGCUGGAUUCGCUGUUGCCCCUUGCUACUAGGGCUGUUGUUGAUGUUAUUGCAGUGAGAGUUGAAGUUAUUGCUAUAACCCCAGUCCAAAUUCUGCGCAGUUUCGUACUCUUAAAUUCAACAUUUCGGGUUUGGUCUCUUCGGUCCCUUAGGACCAUGUUGUGAGUAGGCUUUACAUUUAUAACCGUUAAUUUUUUUUUGUUCAUGCUAUUCUGAGUUUCUAUUUAUAUUUAUAAAACUAUUGUUGAAGAACUUUGAUUUGAUUAGAAUAAUUGAUUUAUUAUAGUUGGAAAAAAAAUAUUUUUAUGAAGCUUAUAUCUUAGAAAUUUUACAUGAGACUAUAUAUAUGUUUGAUGAAGUUUUAUAUUAUUUUAGAACAUUUGAUUUUACUCGAAUAUAUACUUUUGAAGCAUUGAAGUAUUUAUUAGUACUUACUGACUUUGAAAUUGUAAAAUGUGUUUGAAAUUACUUAUGAUCGAAGAAGCUAUGAUUAGAAAAUAUUUCUUACGAGAAAGUAUUAUUUGAUUUGAUUCAAUACCGUAUAUAUUUGAAAGAUCGAAGAUUUAUUAUAGUUGAAUUUAUAUGUUUUGAAUUGGUUUGGGAGGCUCGUAUUAGAAAACCGUAGUUAACGGCGGUUAUGAAAUUAACUUAGAUGCAUCUAACUCAGACUCCAGCUAGCAGGGGUGUUGCUAGUCUAACGUGUAGGCCACACGUUAGAUCUGUUAUUCUGUUAGGACACACGAGAGGAAAGGGUUACCCAUUGAGGUGGAGCUGCCCAAGUGUGGACGUUUGAUUUGAUUUCUGAACAAAUAUUUGACUAUGUGGGACUUUCUAUUCAAGAAUAACGGUCUGCAAUGAGUACCUAUCUUUGUCGAAUUCCUAGAAGUAUAUGCUCCAUAUGUCACAGGCAGGAUCCAACCAUUCUUAGUUAUUUUAAUUUUUUUGUUAAAAAUAUAUAACUAUUUAUUUUAGAACUUGUAAAAUAUUUGUAACUUGCUUAUUCAACUUAUAUCUGAGUAUGUUAGGCUUGCUAUAGGAUUAUUUUCCUGAGCGCCGGUCAUGACUCAUUUUGGGUUUUGACAGCAGGCUUGUUUUAAAGCUAAUUACAAAAGGAGGAAACUUUUGGCCUUCAAAUCUUAUUCAUCAUCACUUAGCUAAGCUACUUGUCUUGUAUAUUCAUAGUUUAGGGAACUAGAUGGUAGAUUUGACUAAUUAGUGCUUAU